GAACGCACAUUGCGCCCCUUGGUAUUCCGGGGGGCAUGCCUGUUCGAGCGUCAUUACAACCCUCAAGCUAUGCUUGGUAUUGGGCCCUGCCGGCAACGGCUGGCCCUAAAAUCAGUGGCGGCGCCAUCGUGCUCUCAGCGUAGUAAUUUUUCUCGCUGUUGGGUCUCGGUGAACGCUGGCCAGCAACCCCCAAUUUUUCAGGUUGACCUCGGAUCAGGUAGGGAUACCCGCUGAACUUAAG
rnacentral:misc_RNA from 1 species